GUACACUAGUAAAUACUGAGUAUAGUCACAUAUUCGCGUAGUGCGCCGUAUGCUCUGGAAAAUUCGCAAUUAAAAUGUGCUUAGGAGGGGGCGGUGAUAAUCUGUCCAUAUGCAUGCAAGUUGAAUUUUGUUGUGAAACCCAAAAUAUUUUCAGCGACCGUCGUCACGUAGAUAUUAAUGUAUUACUACUAUAUCAUAUAUGCUGUCAGUGCGUGAUACAAUAAAAUACCUUAAAUACGUUCAACUCAAUAUUUUAUUAAUUUAUUGUAAAAAAAAAAAAAAAAAAACCAAAAUAACAAUAAUUAAAAACCUGAAAAUGUGUACUUUUCGUGAAAUGUCUGCAGAUAAAUAAAUACAGUAUUAUCCAACUAUUGUUUUUGGCGAAUUCGACCGAGCACCAAGGUAUGUGUCAUAGCGAAAACAUAAUUUAUGAAUAAACGACGACGUUUGGAACUUUAUCCAGUUAAAAAAACCCCCCUCGUAAAAUAUUAUGUCGCGUUCACUUGAUCAAAUUAUCCUGAAAUAAUCGUUCGUUAUCUCGGAAAGUAUUGACUUCUUUCGGAAUCCCGUAGUUUGUUAAAAACGUAUGAAUCAAGCAACAUUAAAAUAUUACAUUACAGUUAUUUUUUGUCGCUGUUAUUUUCGAGUGUAAAAUCAUUACCUACUUUGAUUUUCAAAUUGUAGUUAUGUAGUUUUUGUAGUUUAAUUGUAGUUCUUGUGUAUUAUUUUGCUUAAAUUACUUAGCUUUUUCAAUAUCGGCCAUGGAAAACAAUCAACAAAAUACAUUUUAAAAGUGUGAUAUAAAUCAAAUAUUUAUUUGGCUGCAAAAAGUGGAUCGGUGAACAACAACUAAAAAAAAAAAAUUAUACGAUGUCAAAUAUUUUAGUUAUUCGUUUCAUGAAAAAUAGCUACUUUUUUUUUUUUUUUUACAAAUAAUUCAUCGUCAAGUGGAUGCAACUUAUACAGAGUGAUCAAUAUAUCAUGAAUCAUCGAUUUUCUCAAAAGACGUUAAGUGAAUUUAAUUAAAUAAACUUCAUAUUAAACGUUUGAUGAUAAAUUGAUAACCUUUCUUUACUCCGCCGAUUCAAACUUUAAACUGUUAUAACUUAAAAUUCAUAACUAUAAAACCGAUUUUAGUAUCCUAUGUACAAUUAAAAUUUUUAGACAAUUAUUCUCUAUUCGAAUCUAUGUUUUGAUGUAGAGGGAGGGUUCCCAAUCGAAAAUCAAAAACAUAUACAAAUUUACGAUACAAGGAGUAGGGGUAGGAAAUUGAAAAUAGUAUUGAAACAAAACUAAAACGAGUAAAAAAAAAUUCGAAUCAUGUCAAAAUCCUGUGAGAAUCGCUAGUUCGUGAUCUUUCUGUAUUAUGGACUAUAGGCCACACGCCUGCAGUGGUACAUUCGGUAGAUCGCGGGGCCAUUUUUCGCGACGAGUUUCAUCAGACGGACACUCGUGAUUUUCGAGUGAUCGGCCUGUGUGCGGAUCCGUUUAUCGCGUUAACUGGAGUGCGUCGGACACAAUCAAAAUUCUUUUCUUGUUUUAUACGUAUUCCGUGGCGUAUACGCGGUGAGAAAAAAAAAAAAAAAGGUGUAAAUAAUUUAUAAUGAUAAGAUUGUUUUUCACUUAUUAUUAUUUUGUAACAACAGGCGAAAGACACCGCGCGAUGCGACGGUCUUGUUUCUCCGGGUGGAUCGACCGUAGCGAAUUUUUUAUUACCCAUACCUAGUUAUAUAGGUGUAUAAUAAUAAACCGUCGUCGUCGAGACAAAUGGGUUAUAUAUUAUUAGAAGAUAGCGGGCUAUUAUAUUUCCGAAGGAAAAUCAUCACUACUUCACCCAGGUAUAUAAGUUUUUUUUCUUCUUGAGUCGGCCGACUAACAAAAAAAAAAAUAUCCCGUUCGGAAGUCACACGAAAUUAUUUUGGUCACCGCGUUUUCCGCGAUCGUUUUCACUCAGUUAUUUACCUAAUACCUAUAUGACGUAUUAUAAUACAUACUUCACAGCAGGCUCGGAGGAUUUGCAAUACCGGAUUGAAAACUCGGUGGGCAGCCAAACACUUUAUAUUUUUGGACUGCUAUAAAAAUACAAAUAUUCCUAAAAUAUAUACGACGAGGUAUAGAAAACUGUUCAGUCAAGUAUCGAAGUCGUAUAAUAAUUGAUAGUGGAAAUCGAAUAAAAUUGAAAUAUAUAUGUGACUGUAAUAAGUAAUCGUUAUCACGAUCGUUGAGAUCAUGGUUACAGCACCAUCCAUAACAAAUGUGAUCAGUAAGGGUGUCUUUCAGCGAUACCCGUUUACCCGGGUUUGGUAAGUUGUCAUACGAAACAUAGCAGGUAUAAGCGGAUACUCGGUUGCUUAUUUCACUCCUUUUUGUUAUUGGUCAAAAUAUAACGAAAAUCUAGCAGUAAUCGGGGUUUUUUCUUUAGUAUCAUCUAGUAAUAACAGUAUUAAAAUACUUUUAUUCGAAUAUUUUACAAGACCGGCAAUCAGUGUAAUUACACUGCACUACUUGGUAAGACACGUCAGUAUGCGCGGGUAUCUCUGGGAUUCAUCAUUUUGUUGAAUUUCAGAAGGAUAGGUAAAGCCGCGGUGUAGGUAGGCACCUAUAAUAAUAGUAUAAUAUUAUGAUCUAAAUUCUAAGGGUUGUAUUUCGAUUCAGUGAAAUCUAUCCGGAUAUUUGUACAUUAAACAAACAAAUUUGGUGGUUCAAUUGGGAAUAAUUCACUCAAUUGACUAAUACGAAUAUGUUUACAGUGGUCUAUCCAUAGAGUAAGAAUUGUAUCACGGAGAGGAUAAUAUAAAAGCGGGUUCCCGCGAACUUAUAAAUGAUCACUACCGGACGGGAAACGAGGCGCGGUAAGUGUCAUCGAACGCUCUUCAAACUAUAGUUACUAUAGCACGCUACGCAUAUACCGUGAAAAAGAGUAAAUUCAUAUUUUUUUUUUUUUUUUUAAGCCGUCCAACGUAUAUAAAUAUUAUGAAUUGGUGUUUCGACGAAAAAGCAUUUAGUCAUCGUUGGGUACUACUCGACGAGCGUGUAUAUAUAUAUAUAAAAAAAAAAAUGUCCGGCCAAACAACUCGGUAAACUGUUCAAUAUAUUA
rnacentral:lncRNA from 1 species